UCAACGCUGGCGGCGUGCCUAACACAUGCAAGUCGAACGUGAAAGGGGCUUCGGCCCUGGGUAAAGUGGCAAACGGGUGAGUAACGCGUGGGUGAUCUGCCUCUGAGUGGGGGAUAACGUUCCGAAAGGGACGCUAAUACCGCAUGACAUCCUGUUCUUGGAUGAAUGGUGAUCGAAGCUGGGGACCGCAAGGCCUGGCGCUUGGAGAGGAGCCCGCGUCCGAUUAGCUAGUUGGUGGGGUAACGGCCUACCAAGGCGACGAUCGGUAGCCGGCCUGAGAGGGCGGACGGCCACACUGGGACUGAGACACGGCCCAGACUCCUACGGGAGGCAGCAGUGGGGAAUUGUUCGCAAUGGGCGCAAGCCUGACGACGCAACGCCGCGUGGGGGAUGAAGGUCUUCGGAUUGUAAACCCCUGUUGGGUGGGACGAACACUUCCGUGGUGAAUAGCCAUGGAGACUGACGGUACCACCUGAGGAAGCCCCGGCUAACUCUGUGCCAGCAG
rnacentral:rRNA from 1 species